rnacentral:RNase_P_RNA from 1 species
GGAGAGGGCCGGGCGGUCGCUCGGGUGUUUCCCGAGAGGAAAGUCCGGACUCCGCAGGGCAAGGUGGCCGCUAACGGCGGCCUCGAGUGAUCGAGGGAAAGUGCCACAGAAAAGAGACGGCUGGUAGGCUUCUCCUACCGGAUGCGGUGAAAACAGUGUGGCAACGCACUAGCAUUCGGGGUAACUCGGGUGCUUGGCAAACCCCACCUGGAGCAAGACCGAAGAGAGGGCGCGCGGCCCGCGCACACCCUCCGGUGCGUCGCUUGAGGCGGUUGGCAACAACCGUCCCAGAGGAAUGACCGCCACCCGGCUCCCGCAGCCGGGAACAGAAUCCGGCUUACAGGCCCUCUCCUUUU